CUUUGUUGAAACUGAGUAACGAACCAUCAACUGCAUACAAAAUCGAAAAACCAAAACUUAAAAACCCUAAAUGAAAAACAACACACAAAACCCAAACUCAAAAUACGAAACGCUAAACACCAAAACCCACCAAGGAUGAAUGCUCUUACCCUGCUUAGAACUGGCCAUUUCGCAAAACGAACACACCAAGAAACAAAAGAUGCAAUGACAGCAACAUCCACACCAACAACGAAGGCCAACAGGGCAACAAGAAGCACGAACGACAGUCAGAUGGCGAAAACGAAGGCAAUAACGAUAUCGGAAUGGCGAAAGCAAAGCCAAGAAACCUAUCGGAAUGAAGAAAUCAGAAGAAAGAGAAUUUAAAAUCUGAUGAAACAGGGAAGAAAGAGAAUGUUAAAUUCAGAUCAAACUGGGGAAGGGCAAACUUGGAAUCCAAAAAUUCAAAUCUCUUCCUCAUUAAUGACAUCACAUUUUUUGUUUUUUUUUUCUAAAAAAAACACCCAAUCGCAUGCCUACACGUGGCGUUGUUAAAAUAGUGUCAAAAAGAUUGUGUCAAAAUAUCAUAAUCCAAAGAAAAAACUCCAUUAGUGUUAUAUCCUUUGAGUUGGCCCAUGAGGAAUGUGUCAUCACUCAUCUUAAAACAUUACUCCUUCCACCACUACAUAUUUAUGCACCUCCCAAUUUUUUUUUUUACUUCAAAACCAACUUUGAGUAAUUUUUUUUUUAUUUUUACCAUAUUUAAUCUAAAACCCUAAUCUUAUUCUCUCCUUUUUCAUUGUCACGGCUUACCCCACACCUACAUAGAAUCUCAUUUCUCUCUUUCACUCUUUUCUUCCUAUUCUCCUUCUCUACCUCUCUUAUUUCUGAUUUUCGUUUCCUCCCUCCAUUAUUUGAUUGUUUCCAUUGUGUCUUUGUGUUGUUGCUUCCAUUGUGACCGAGGUGGUCAAUUUGCAAAGAGAAGUGUGGUUCGGGUUGGUUUCGUUUCUUAAACACACACUUGGAUCUAGGUUGGUUUUAUAUUCUUUUCAUGGUUAACGCUUUUUGUCCAUUUUGUUUCGUUUGGUAUUUAGCUUUUGUAUGUGUUAUACAACGGUUUGUUGUUGUUGUUGUUGUUGUAUGUUCUAUGUACAUAAAACGAUUGAGGGAAACCGCGAAGGUCAAAACGAAAAUGGGAGAUUUGUUUAGCCUUCAAACGACGUCGAUAUCCAUUGACGGAUAUGGACAUCCGUUGAAGGCCAAACAAAUCUUCUAUUUCUAUUUUGGCCUUAAAUCUAUAUUUUUUU
rnacentral:lncRNA from 1 species